rnacentral:rRNA from 1 species
UGGGGAAUAUUGCACAAUGGGCGCAAGCCUGAUGCAGCCAUGCCGCGUGUAUGAAGAAGGCCUUCGGGUUGUAAAGUACUUUCAGCGGGGAGGAAGGGAGUAAAGUUAAUACCUUUGCUCAUUGACGUUACCCGCAGAAGAAGCACCGGCUAACUCCGUGCCAGCAGCCGCGGUAAUACGGAGGGUGCAAGCGUUAAUCGGAAUUACUGGGCGUAAAGCGCACGCAGGCGGUUUGUUAAGUCAGAUGUGAAAUCCCCGGGCUCAACCUGGGAACUGCAUCUGAUACUGGCAAGCUUGAGUCUCGUAGAGGGGGGUAGAAUUCCAGGUGUAGCGGUGAAAUGCGUAGAGAUCUGGAGGAAUACCGGUGGCGAAGGCGGCCCCCCUGGACGAAGACUGACGCUCAGGUGCGAAAGCGUGGGGCAGCAAACAGGAUUAGAUAACCUGGUAGUCCACGCCGUAAACGAUGUCGACUUGGAGGUUGUGCCCUUGAGGCGUGGCUUCCGGAGCUAACGCGUUAAGUCGACCGCCUGGGGAGUACGGCCGCAAGGUUAAAAC